AUUGAACGCUGGCGGCAUGCCUUACACAUGCAAGUCGAACGGCAGCAUAGAGAGCUUGCUCUCUGAUGGCGAGUGGCGAACGGGUGAGUAAAGCAUCGGAACGUACCGUGUAGUGGGGGAUAACGUAGCGAAAGUUACGCUAAUACCGCAUACGCACUGAGGUGGAAAGCAGGGGAUCGCAAGACCUUGCGCUAUACGAGCGGCCGAUGUCAGAUUAGCUAGUUGGUAGGGUAAAGGCCUACCAAGGCGACGAUCUGUAGCGGGUCUGAGAGGAUGAGCCGCCAAACUGGGACUGAGACACGGCCCAGACUCCUACGGGAGGCAGCAGUGGGGAAUUUUGGACAAUGGGGGCAAACCUGAUCCAGCCAUGCCGCGUGAGUGAAGAAGGCCUUCGGGUUGUAAAGCUCUUUCGGCCGGGAAGAAAUCGCACAGGCUAAUACUCUGUGUGGAUGACGGUACCGGCAUAAGAAGCACCGGCUAACUACGUGCCAGCCGCCGCGGUAA
rnacentral:rRNA from 1 species